GGCUCCAUCGUCUAGAGGCCUAGGACGCUGCCCUCUCACGGCGGUAACGGGGGUUCGAAUCCCCCUGGGGCUACCA
rnacentral:tRNA from 1 species